rnacentral:siRNA from 1 species
GACUGGGAACGGCUCUCU